AUUGAACGCUGGCGGCAGGCCUAACACAUGCAAGUCGAACGAGCGGCGGACGGGUGAGGAAUGUAUGGGAAUCUGCCCGAUGGAGGGGGAUAACUACUGGAAACGGUUGCUAAUACCGCAUACUAUCGGAUGUACCCAGUUGGGAUUAGCUAGUAGGUGGGGGAAAGGCUCACCUAGGCGACGAUCUCUAGCUGGUCUGAGAGGCUGAUCGGCCACACUGGAACUGAGACACGGCCCAGACUCCUACGGGAGGCAGCAGUGGGGAAUAUGGCACAAUGGGCGCAAGCCUGAUUCAGACAUGCCGCGUGUAUGAAGAAGGCCUGAGGGUUGUAAAGAACUUGCAGCUGGGAGGCGUUACCCGCAGAAGAAGCACCGGCUAACUCCGUGCCAGCAGCCGCGGUAAUUC
rnacentral:rRNA from 1 species